rnacentral:rRNA from 1 species
UGCAAGUAGAACGCUGAAGAGAGGAGCUUGCUCCUUCCUUGGAUGAGUUGCGAACGGGUGAGUAACGCGUAGGUAACCUGCCUUGUAGCGGGGGAUAACUAUUGGAAACGAUAGCUAAUACCGCAUAACAAUGGAUGACACAUGUCAUUUAUUUGAAAGGGGCAAUUGCUCCACUACAAGAUGGACCUGCGUUGUAUUAGCUAGUAGGUGAGGUAACGGCUCACCUAGGCGACGAUACAUAGCCGACCUGAGAGGGUGAUCGGCCACACUGGGACUGAGACACGGCCCAGACUCCUACGGGAGGCAGCAGUAGGGAAUCUUCGGCAAUGGGGGCAACCCUGACCGAGCAACGCCGCGUGAGUGAAGAAGGUUUUCGGAUCGUAAAGCUCUGUUGUAAGUCAAGAACGAGUGUGAGAGUGGAAAGUUCACACUGUGACGGUAGCUUACCAGAAAGGGACGGCUAACUACGUGCCAGCAGCCGCGGUAAUACGUAGGUCCCGAGCGUUGUCCGGAUUUAUUGGGCGUAAAGCGAGCGCAGGCGGUUUGAUAAGUCUGAAGUUAAAGGCUGUGGCUCAACCAUAGUUCGCUUUGGAAACUGUCAAACUUGAGUGCAGAAGGGGAGAGUGGAAUUCCAUGUGUAGCGGUGAAAUGCGUAGAUAUAUGGAGGAACACCGGUGGCGAAAGCGGCUCUCUGGUCUGUAACUGACGCUGAGGCUCGAAAGCGUGGGGAGCGAACAGGAUUAGAUACCCUGGUAGUCCACGCCGUAAACGAUGAGUGCUAGGUGUUGGAUCCUUUCCGGGAUUCAGUGCCGCAGCUAACGCAUUAAGCACUCCGCCUGGGGAGUACGACCGCAAGGUUGAAACUCAAAGGAAUUGACGGGGGCCCGCACAAGCGGUGGAGCAUGUGGUUUAAUUCGAAGCAACGCGAAGAACCUUACCAGGUCUUGACAUCCCGAUGCUAUUUCUAGAGAUAGAAAGUUACUUCGGUACAUCGGUGACAGGUGGUGCAUGGUGUCGUCAGCUCG